UACGUAGGGGGCGAGCGUUGUCCGGAGUUACUGGGCGUAAAGCGCACGCAGGCGGUCUGCUAAGUUUGGAGUGACAGUUGGUGGCCUAACUGCCAAAGUGCUUCGAAAACUGACAGACUUGAGGGCUUCAGAGGGACACGGAAUUCCGGGUGGAGUGGUGAAAUGCGUAGAGAUCCGGAGGAACACCAAAGGCGAAGGCAGUGUCCUGGGGAGUACCUGACGCUCAGGUGCGAAAGCCAGGGGAGCGAACGGG
rnacentral:rRNA from 1 species